GCCCCCGUAGCGUAAUGGAUAGCGUGCAAGACUUCGGAUCUUGAGGUGAGGGUUCAAAUCCUUCCGGGGGCA
rnacentral:tRNA from 1 species